rnacentral:tRNA from 1 species
GGAGUUGUGGCUCAGUGGUAGAGUGCUUGCCUGGCAUGUGUGAGGCACUGGGUUCAAUCCUCAGCACCA